rnacentral:lncRNA from 1 species
GGUGAUUCCUGUUUCCUCCCAGGUGUGUGAGUUUUGAGCUCUGAUGUAUUUAUUCCUUCCUCGUGGAAGCACAAAGCAGGACGCAGCAGGCAUUCUUUAGCUUCUGUCUGUCAUCCAGUUUGCAACACGCAUUGCUGUUAUAAAAGUCCCUUGUUAAGUAAUUGUGUUUCUCUUGCAUAAGUGUUUGCUUUCAGGAAGCUGUAGCCAAUCAGAGGCUGCAACUCACAGAAAGCAUUCCUAACCACCGUGAUUUCUGAAAAUAAUGCUCUGGUACUGAUCUGCUGGAAGUGCUGGAAAAGCUCUGUAGGUUGGCUCAAGCAGAGGAGACUUCAGUGCCCAUGGUGGCUGAACUACAGCAGUAAGGUGCUGCCAAAGCUCUGUGCUGAGCGGAUCGUCGGUAAAAUGGACUCCAUGCCCAAGCUGAAGAUUUUUGUGAUGUUGCUGUCUCUGGCUACUUUCACAGCCAUGGUGAUACUGAAUGCUGGAAAUGCCACUGGUCUUUUCAAAGGUAAUGCAAGCAAAUGCUUUUUGUUCAGAGAGAUAGUCUUUGCACUGCAUCACUUUCUGAUG